UAACAAGGUCUCCGUUGGUGAACCAGCGGAGGGAUCAUUACUGAGUUUACGCUCUAUAACCCUUUGUGAACAUACCUAUAACUGUUGCUUCGGCGGGUAGGGUCUCCGUGACCCUCCCGGCCUCCCGCCCCCGGGCGGGUCGGCGCCCGCCGGAGGAUAACCAAACUCUGAUUUAACGACGUUUCUUCUGAGUGGUACAAGCAAAUAAUCAAAACUUUUAACAACGGAUCUCUUGGUUCUGGCAUCGAUGAAGAACGCAGCGAAAUGCGAUAAGUAAUGUGAAUUGCAGAAUUCAGUGAAUCAUCGAAUCUUUGAACGCACAUUGCGCCCGCCAGCAUUCUGGCGGGCAUGCCUGUUCGAGCGUCAUUUCAACCCUCAAGCUCUGCUUGGUGUUGGGGCCCUACAGCUGAUGUAGGCCCUCAAAGGUAGUGGCGGACCCUCCCGGAGCCUCCUUUGCGUAGUAACUUUACGUCUCGCACUGGGAUCCGGAGGGACUCUUGCCGUAAAACCCCCAAUUCUCCAAAGGUUGACCUCGGAUCAGGUAGGAAUACCCGCUGAACUUAAGCAUA
rnacentral:rRNA from 1 species